rnacentral:rRNA from 1 species
CCUACGGGGUGCAGCAGUCGAGAAUCAUUCACAAUGGGGGAAACCCUGAUGGUGCGACGCCGCGUGGGGGAAUGAAGGUCUUCGGAUGGUAAACCCCUGUCAUGUGGGAGCAAAUUAAAAAGAUAGUACCCCAAGAGGAAGAGACGGCUAACUCUGCGCCAGCAGCCGCGGUAAUACAGAGGUCUCAAGCGUUGUUCGGAAUCACUGGGCGUAAAGCGUGCGUAGGCUGUUUCGUAAGUCGUGUGUGAAAGGCGCGGGCUCAACCCGCGGACGGCACAUGUUACUGCGAGACUAGAGUAAUGGAGGGGGAACCGGAAUUCUCGGUGUAGCAGUUAAAUGCGUAGAUAUCGAGAGGAACACUCGUGGCGAAGGCGGGUUCCUGGACAUUAACUGACGCUGAGGCACGAAGGCCAGGGGAGCGAAAGGGAUUAGAUACCCUAGUAGUC